UUUAACUUCAUUGAUAGAUUUUUUCUGAUAAAGGAAAUUUAGUCCCUUAUCCCAUCUCUCUCUUAAUGGCUUGAAUGCUGCUAUGGAGGCCAGCCACACCUUUUUGGUGAGUGCACCAUCCUUAGGUCCCAGUCCAUCAGGGUGAUCCUUAGGCCUCCUGCCUUUUCUAUCCUUUUUCUUCCUCUCAUUGAAAGGAUCAAGGGGAAAUUUCCUGAUCUCCUCUGCUGGUACCUUAAUGAUGGUAUCCUACUUGGCUCACCUACUGCUCUGCUGUAGGCACUUGAUAUUAUAGAUGAGGUUGGGCCCACCCUUUGUCUCUCCCUUACUUGCUUUGUGUCUUAUUUUGGCUCCACUAGCCUCCCUGCCAUCCUCGGUCCAUCUUUCUUUCUUCACUUCAAAAGGCUUUGUUGUUUUUGGUGCUCCCGUUGCCCCUCUUAACUUUUGUAGUCCAGUCAUUGAGAGAAAAUAUCUGCAAUUGAAUCCCUCUCCCUUCUUGAGGAUGCUCUAUCGGAAUAUUUCCUCCUUUGUUCUGUAAUAUGCUCUCAAUUCAACUUCUCCGGAAGUCCUCCUCUCUAUUAUUUGUGAGUUUGAUAAACGCAUUGCUCUCUGUCUCUCUAAUGUAAUUAGAAUUUGCCUCUCCUUGGUCAGCCCUGUUCAGUUAAGAAGGAUAGGUCUUCAUCAGACUUCUUUUAAUACCCCUGCUAUUUUCUUGGCGUUCGUGUCUGCUUGCUUUCCUCUUAUUCUAUCCCUUUCAGGUUUGGAGGUACUCUUUUUUAUUUGGACUCAGCUCUUGCCCUUUUUGCCACAGCCUCUAAGGCUCUAACAUGGAUGAGCUCCCCUCUCUUGACCACUUUGAGAUUUCAUCACUCCUAGGGCCUUAUCCAAUCUGAUUGAUCAGUGUGUUUUCAGUAUUCUGCUGUCUCUACCUUAAGAUGAUAGGUCUCAUGCUCUCCUCUUGACCAGCAUUUGUCAUGCUAGGGACUGGUUGGGUGUUAUUCCCUCCACAGCCCUCGGUCUCCAUCCGCCAGAUGCUGAGUUCAGGUUCUGUCUUUGCCAUUGGUUGUAGGUUCCUCUAACCAGUGAGACCUCAAUCUGCCCAAUCUGCAGGCUCUCUGCUAAUCCCUGUGGAGAACAUGCAAUGGCUUGUGGGAUCAUAGUAUGGCUUGUCAUUGAAUGGUGACUGAAUCCUUCGGCAAAAUGCUCUAAACUAAGUGUUAUUCUCAGCUGCUCUGUCUGUUGCUCUUUCCCCUUGCAGGGGAGUCUUGUUGCUUAUCCCGGAUUCCCCAUAUUUUAUAAUUAAUGAGUAGAUCUAUAAUAGUUAUGUUUAGUAGUUGCUGCACAUAAGCACUUCUUCAUGUGCAUAGCGCUGCCAAUCUUCAUAACCACUGACGCUCUUAAAUUGCUGAAACUUUUCAGACCAUAACAAAAGACAAAUUGAAGUUGCAUUUGAUGCCCAUUGAUUUGAUUGCAAGAUAUCAUGUAGUGUUACUGUUGCUUUAAAACUUCAAAAAGUUUAAUCCAAAAAUACUCUGCCAUUUUAUUUAAAAAGUUAAGGAGUUAAUCAGAACAUUAAAAAAGCAUUAAGAAAAACAAAUCACUUAUUUUAACAAAUGCAACAAGUAGAUAUUACUUUAACUGACCCUUAGAUGACUCAUGUACACAAAGUGCUUCUGACAGGGUGUGUAGACUCGUUGGAAGGCAGAAUAAAAUUCAUGAAGGGGAGAAUUUCUUGCUGCUUAGGGAGAAUUUCUUGCUGCUUAUCAUGACCAGUGCGAUUGCUUAGAGUUGUACCAUUUACCGAUAAAACAAUUGGAAUCUGCAGUGAUUUUUAUGAUAUGUUAAUCAGUUAUUUUUUUGCAGAUUGUUAUAGCUAUUAAAAAUUAAGUAAUGAAAGUUAUAUUCUUGUCCUGCCCCUUCGCUUACCUGUGGAGGAAGGGUCCGGAGACACUGCUAUCUAAAAUGUGUGCUUCAUGCCACAGAAUUGGCGUCCCAAUCAGAUUGCUCGAACCACGUUUAUGAUCCAUGUUAUGUGAUAGUGUGGUCAUGCCCUUCAUUUGGCAUGUGAUUUUUAGAAAAAUUGGCUGCUCUUAAGGAAAGAAGAAAGACAAGAGGAAAGAAGAGGACGAGGGAGGGAGAUGAAGCUAAAGCCAAGAUGUAUAUGGCUCUUGUUAAAUGCAUUAGGAAGUUAGGCUAUGAAUUUUUGAAGAAGGAGCAAGAAAAGGCAAUUGUUUCAUUUAUGGAAGGAAAUUAUGUGUUUGUUUGUCUGCCAACUGGCUUUAGAAACUCUCUUUGCUAUUUCUGUCUUCCUGGUUUGUUUGAUAUCAGAAACAAAGUCGUCUAUCAGAAACAAAGUCGUCCACUCUGUGGCAAUAGUUAUCAGCCCAUUAGUAGUGCUGAUGUCCGAUCAAAUGGCAAUAUUAAGAAGUAAAGGAGUUAUUGUCACUGAUGUGUACGGUAACAAUAAGGCUGAUGACAGUGAAUCACAAAAGGUAGUCAUUGAAGGGAAUCAUCAGAUUAUUUUUACCAACCCAGAGACUCUUUUUGAUAUGGAGUGGAAAGACCUUUGGCGUAGUCCUUCAUUGACUGAGAGGAUAGUUGCUUUUGUUGUUGAUGAGGCACACUUCGUGAAAAAAUGGGGUAAUAAGUUUUGAAAAGAGCUUGGCAAAUUUGGAGAUAUGAGAGGGUCCUUACCAGCUGAUUUACAUAUAAUGGCACUGACAGCAAUAGCAUCAAAGUCAACAAGAGAAGAGAUUAUCCGUAGCCUUGAAAUGCAUAAGCCAGUGUCAUUGUGAAGCCACCUGACAAAUUAAACAUUGUAUAUUCAGUCAUUGAGAAAGAUGGGGACUUAGAGUUAACUUUUAAAUGAUUGGUUCAGGAGUUGUGUAAAGAGCAAAAACAGAUAGAACUUAUAUUUUGUCGAACAAUGCAAGACUACAGUGACUUGUAUCUCUAUUUUAAAGCUACCAUGGGAAAAGUGUUUACUCAUCCAAUUGGCAUGCCUGACUACGAUUGUUUUAGGUUGAUUGACAUGUUCAAGGCAUGCAAUACACCUUGUUUGAAGCAAUCUAUACUGAAGUCCUUCACAAAUCCCAAUGGCCACUUGCAAAUUGUUAUUACCACAGUAGCUUUCGGGAUGGGUAUUGAUUGUCUAAGUGUAAUAUAAUUAUUCAUUGGGGUCCUCCCUCUGAUAUAGAAAGCUAUAUCCAGGAGACUGGUAGAGCUAAGUGUGAUGGCAAGAAGGCUGAUGUGACACUGUACUAUUCCAAGCGCGAUAUUUCUUUUCAGUAUAUAGAAGAAAGCAUGUCAUCAUACUGCAGGAAUAUUACUGUUUGUUGAAGACAGGUGCUUUUUAGUGAUUUUGAUACAUUGUCAGAGGAAAGACCAGUGGGUAGUUUGUGCUGUGAUGUGUGUUUUUCUGUUUGUACUUGUGAUUUAUGUCAAAUGUGACAGUUGUUAUGAUUAAAAAUGUGAGAUAAAUUGAUUUCUCAUCAUUUUAAAAUUUUUGAAGUAACAAUUUAUGACCAUACAGAAGGGAAGGGAGGGAAAGAGAGCAAAUAACUUUAUAUAAUAGUAUUUAGAAUCAACACCUAUAUUGUACGUAGUAACUUUCGGUAGUCGGCCUUCAGCCACAAACUGACAUUAUCUUUCUGAAUUAUGCCAGCUACAUUCCCUUUCAUUUUUGGAAAUUGUGAAUGCUUCCUGUGAAGUAUCCUUCUGUAGACUAGUCUUGCUAGCCAGACCCUUCCUGCCUACGGUCAUUUGGGUGGACGGUGGGGAAGGGUCUGGUACAUUGAGUCACCUAGUUUUGUUCUUGCUGAGUCAGCAAAAGUGGACUCGUCAUUAUGACAAUAGUAGGCAUAGCCGCAAAGUCAUGUGGCCAAAAA
rnacentral:lncRNA from 1 species